rnacentral:rRNA from 1 species
GUGCCAGCAGCCGCGGUAAUACGGGGGGGGUAAGCGUUGUUCGGAAUUACUGGGCGUAAAGGGCUCGUAGGCGGCCAACUAAGUCAUACGUGAAAUCCCUCAGCUUAACUGGGGAACUGCGUGUGAUACUGGAUGGCUUGGAUUUGGGAGAGGGAUGCGGAAUUCCAGGUGUAGCGGUGAAAUGCGUAGAUAUCUGGAGGAACACCGGUGGCGAAGGCGGCAUCCUGGACCAAUAUUGACGCUGAGGAGCGAAAGCCAGGGGAGCAAACGGGAUUAGAAACCCCCGUAGUCC